CCUCAGCAAGCUUCAGUUCCCGGCCUCUCAGGACCUGCUGUUUAUCUUGGUCUUCCUUUGCACUGGAGCAGUAUGUGUUUUCCCAGGAGGAGGAAAGAAAGGUUCCAUGUGACUGUUGCAGCCUGUUAUUAUGAGCAAUGGAGGGCUAUAGCUUUAACUAUACUUUCGGACACUUGCCUUUGUCAAUGAGGGCAAAGGCCAAGCAAUGUUAACCCAAAAGUCUGUGACGACAAGGAAAGGCUCUAGCAUGUUUGAAGAAGCUGUGACUUCUCUGUUCUGGGUGGCCUUGGAUUUGGUCAUCUUCAAGUUCAGACAGCCUUGUACAUCCUGCAUAUGGAUGAAGACCCAAAAAGGUUUUUGGAGAUCUGUUUGGAUGGGAUGGAGAAAGCUGUUGCUCUAAUGUUUGAAGCAGACGUCCUCGCCAUGUACAGGCGUGUGCUGUGCACAGACGGGAGCUUGUACAAGCAAGUGACAUUUACCAGCAGGAGCUUGUCUGGACAGGUAAAGGAGGGGCUGUGCAUGAUUACAGGAUUUUCACAAGAUUUCAUGGCUGGCAAGUGAUGGAGUCACGAAGGGAACUAGACCCAUCAGUGAGGAAGCCAGUGCAGGUACAGAGAUGUCUCACAGGGCCCCGGGCCUGUGCUGAAGGAACCCUGAUGACCGAAACACUCAAGCCCCAGUGUUCAAGGACCUGCCGGCUGCCCAGCCAAUCCCCCUCCCCUUCCAUUUUUCCUACAGGGAAUGGCCGCUACUGGUGAAGAUAAUUGCUCAACUGUUUGCACUGAGAGUUAUGGAGGGUCAAAUCUCCACCCUCUGUGUUCUUUGGCACAAACUACAUGGAAGUGACAGAAAAUUCUGUAUCACCUAAGAACAAAACAGGAAUGCUUGGGAGGCAGCAGCCUCCUGCACAAAAUUUUCACCCACUGCUAGCAUUUAGCUAUCUAAAUUUUCUACCAUUAGACAUCUAUUCCUUUGGAUUAAAGUAGAUUUCUCCUCUUGCCUAGGACUUGCCCGGACUAUUGUAUAAAAUCUUCUUUUGUCAUACAUCCAAAUAACUACCCUCACAGCUCCUAACAACCACCUCAGUAUUGAGGUCUCACAGAAAUAGUCCAAGAAACCCAGUAACAUAAGGAAUGGCUAUACUUCAAGCUGUUAAAUACUUCAAUUUUGAGGAUUAAACUGUU